CUCUCUCUCUCUCUCUCUCCAUCUUUGACUCCGCCACCACCCCCUCUUUUCUGUCUCAUCAUCUCGAUCAUCCAAGUCUCACAAACAAGAAGAAAAUGCUAAUCAAAGACAAGGAAGAAAAGACAACCUUCGUACUAUUGUAGAUAAUCCACGACGAAGACACCAUAUUGGCGUACAAUUACGGCAAAUUAGCUCCUCCUUUCACCCUCAUGAACAUUGUAAUUGAGAAAAGCUGAAUCAGGAAAUUCCUAUGCAAUUUCGCUACAAUUUCAUGUACAUAUAUUGGGUACAUUCCUUUAGGAAAAACUUUUGUAGAAUAAGCAACGAUAGAAAAUUUGCCGAAACUAGAUGUAAAUAUCAGACAUUGCAAAACUAGCAAAGAAAAGGAAAAGGGAAGGGAAGAUUUUAGUUACCAUAUACUAUGUCGACAAAUUCUAGCAAUCCAUCGGGAGGCCUUCUGCAAAAGAAUCUGUAAUCAUACUACAUUAAAACCCUGAUCUGGGAUCCGAUUAUGCCCACUCCUCCGUCGGGCAGUGAAAUCCUGAAUCCAGAGAGGAGAAUCAUCUGCUAUCUCCUUCAUCUACAUUCCCUUCAUUUUCGUUUGAAUCACCAAGCUAUAUUGGCGUUAUUGAGGAAGUGCGAUGGGUUGGGUUUGUA
rnacentral:misc_RNA from 1 species